GUCUCUGCACCCUGCGAGGCCUGCCUGAGCCUACCACCGGGGCACGGGUUACUGGGGGAGGGAGGGGGUCGGGGGGGGAGAGGGGGGAGGGGCGCCUUAGACUUUUACCCCUCGAGUUUAAUUCCCCCCCAGACUGAUCUCGUGCUGGACUCGUCACCGCCAACCAGUACCUUUAGUGUAGUUUAUCUUCUUUUUUUUAUUUUUAUGGGGCUAGUUAGGCUAUGGGACCACAGCCGUAUAGUGUGUCUUGGUCUUGGUCUCAGUUCGGGAGGUGGUCGCCCUUCAUCGCUACGUCAGGUUAGGUUAUUGAAAAGGAGAGUGCGUCGAUGACCGAGAGGAGGAGGGCCUAAGAACCGAUACAAAGCGUCGCAGGUCACAAGAAGAAGACUCACCACAUACCCCAUACCCAACGAUGCCAGAUUACUGUACUCAGAGCCUCGUAUAUACCAGUUUCUGACUCAUGACUAUUCCCAAAAAUCACCAAUAGUUAACCAUUUUAACGAUCAGUAUAUAUGAAACCACACACUCCUGUCUCGUACCACUAAAUUUUCCCUGUCCAAUUUCUCCAAUCCUUCUUGUAUCCUGUGUAGUGUGUGUGUGUGUGUGUGUGUGUGUGUGUGUGUGUGUGUGUGUGUGUGUGUGUGUGUGUGAUCAUGUAUACAGUUACU